rnacentral:rRNA from 1 species
AACGAACGCUGGCGGCAGGCUUAACACAUGCAAGUCGAACGGAUGUAGCAAUACAUCAGUGGCAGACGGGUGAGGAACACGUGGGAAUAUUCCUUUCAGUUCGGAAUAACGUUGGGAAACUAACGCUAAUACCGGAUACGUCCUUCGGGAGAAAGAUUUAUCGCUGAAAGAUUAGCCCGCGUCUGAUUAGCUAGUUGGUGAGGUAAUGGCUCACCAAGGCGACGAUCAGUAGCUGGUCUGAGAGGAUGAUCAGCCACAUUGGGACUGAGACGCGGCCCAAACUCCUACGGGAGGCAGCAGUGGGGAAUAUUGGACAAUGGGCGCAAGCCUGAUCCAGCCAUGCCGCGUGAGUGAUGAAGGCCUUCGGGUUGUAAAGCUCUUUUGUCCGGGAAGAUAAUGACUGUACCGGAAGAAUAAGCCCCGGCAAACUUCGUGCCAGCCGCCGCAGUAA